GUGCUCGCUUCAGCAGCACAUCUGCUAAAAUUGGAGCAACGCAGAGAAGGUUAGCGUGGCUCCCGAGCCAGGAUGACACGCCAAAUCGUGAAGUGUCCAUAUUUAAA